GGACUUGAAAAGGUUGCAUAGUGAUGAGACUGGACGACAAAGGAAACAGAGUUUGGGAAGAUGAUUGUUGGAGCUGAGUAAAUCACCUUAAACUAUGUUGUGGUAGCCACAUAUUGAGCAUGGGCAAACCAGGAGACAGAAGAACUGCAUCUGACACCAUGACAGUCCAUACCAGCCCUAGACCAAUGAACUGUCGUUUUAUAAAGCAAAAAAGGAUGAGAAUGGAAAAAGAGCCUAAAGAAAAAAAAACUGAAGAACGUGGGUGAAAAAGGACAUCAAGGGCAAUUAAAUGCAUGUUCUGUCUUCUGGCAAGGUGAAUAAAAAUUAAAUAUUCAUUUAAAUAAUCUGCAUGCUUAUGUUCAACAAUCCACAUCUAAAAUAUUAUUAAUGUGUUAAAUUAUUAAACAUAAAUCACAAGACUAAAACUUCCAGCUUGUAAAAGUC